rnacentral:misc_RNA from 1 species
GAUGAAGAACGCAGCGAAAUGCGAUAAGUAAUGUGAAUUGCAGAAUUCAGUGAAUCAUCGAAUCUUUGAACGCACAUUGCGCCCGUCAGUAUUCUGGCGGGCAUGCCUGUUCGAGCGUCAUUACGCCCCUCAAGUCCCCUGUGGACUUGGUGUUGGGGGUCGGCGAGGCUGGUUUUCCAGCACAGCCGUCCCUUAAAUUAAUUGGCGGUCUCGCCGUGGCCCUCCUCUGCGCAGUAGUAAAACACUCGCAACAGGAGCCCGGCGCGGUCCACUGCCGUAAAACCCCCCAACUUUUUAUAGUUGACCUCGAAUCAGGUAGGACUACCCGCUGAACUUAAGCAUAUCAAUAAGCGGAGGA